GCGUGGGGAAGGAAGUGACACAGACCUGGGGGAGGGAAGAUGAGCUCGAGCUGGAGUGCCUGUGCUGCAAGGAGCAGAAAUAAUUCAGCCUUGCCAGGAUUUCUGAAGUGUGCUGGUGUUCUCUGGGAAAUGCAGACAUUUGGGGAAGUGCCUUUGGAGGAGAGGAGCUUGAUUCACAAGGAAACUGCUUCCCCAGGAGCCCCCAGUGAGAAAAUGUCAGAAUUACAGAUGUACACACUAAAGUAUCCAAGAUUUCUGUGCAACAGAAAGAUGAGUAAACAGUAGUACAGCCCAAUCUACAUUUCCUUUAGCGGUUACCAAAGGCACUAGGUCUUGCAGGUCUCUCUGCAGGGCAGGAUUACAGGGAAGAGUGGCCUGAGCACUUUCUGCUAUACUGGCAGUGGGGGUAAAAAGCCCUUUUGUUGAUCUCAGACCUAAGACAAACAAAAGAACUGCAAAAAAAAAAAUCAGAGAUGCCAGCCUGAGGCUACCUGAGGAUCCCUCCUGUGGUGCCAGGUUUCCAGAAGACACAAGACAUGCCCCAGCUGCCAAAGCUGCAGAAGCUGCCAUGCGCUGCGAAAGGCUCCCAGCUGCCCUCCAGCCCUGCCACUGCCCCACUGCACAAGGACACCAAA